UUGCAGCCUCCAAAAGAUGUCGAGAUAGGGCUCUUGCACCUUGGUGCCAGUGGAAACCACUCUGGAGCCCGCAGAUUCCAUGGCAGGUACAAGCAGUAAGGACACCGGCUCCGACAGAUGAGGCUCUGGAGCAACUUCUGCAGAGUCCUACUGCUCCGACUCCUGGUAACGUCUGUGGGGGUCUCCUGGUCUGUAGCAGGGGCAGUUGGCCAGAGCCAAGGUCCACCCUUCUGAAGUCAACAAGCCUGAAGGAAUCACAUUGCCUUGAAGCCACCACACAGUCAUGAAAAGCAGCUGAAAACAUAACUCAGCCUCCUCAGAGAGCACCCGGCUGGGGAACAAACUGCAGUCUUUCCCUCACCCAGAGGAACUACGAAAAGCCCAGUAAGUGACCUCUUCAGCAAAGAUUUGCAUUGGCUUCUCCUCUCCUCAUGUAUCACUUACACUAUAUACAUACCGUUGUUCCCACCACCUCUCGCCUGUGUCAUUGUACCUGCCUUCUAACCUCAUAGUUUAAUUCCACAAAGGCUUUCAGGGGGAAGUCAGCAUGCCAAGAUGGUGUGAGUUUACACCACGUUGGCUACUUUUGUCCUAAUUCCCCAUGUGGACACUUUGGGCACAUAUUAAAGGACUUUCCGUAGGCAGCAGUUUCAAAGCUGAGUAUGAUGCCUUGCAUGUUAGCGGGCACCCAAGGGUUUGGUGUAGAGACACCAGUCUGUACCCUAGAAAGGUAAUUACCUUUUUGUACAGAAGACAAGCCCUCAGUAACAUCACUGCAGUUAGUUGACACAGAAUUUAUAACCCUGCCUCACCUGCCUUUUUAAGAAGAAAGCCUAGAAAACAGGGAUACGGAUGAGUGGAGAGUUUCUUUAUCAUCAGUGAGUCAUUGCUUGUUGAAAAUUUUGUCUACCUAGUUCCAUGGCAUACCUGGGAGUUGCCCACAUAUAACCCAUCUAUUGCUCUCAGCCCCAAUAAAUAUAUUUAAAAUGCAGCUGAGCAAAUGGAUCACAAGGACUACUAAAAUCAUACGACUCUGGAAACUUCUUUGGCUUCCAGUUAUUUCUUUUUU